AUUUUAUUGAAUUAGGCUGCAAUUGAUACAAAUUUUAGCUACGUGUUCUCUACACAUUGCUUUUUUACAUUUUAGGCAUUUAUAAAAAGUUUUCCGGUCCAAAGCUGGUGGACACAAAUUACAGCGCCUUUGGUUCGACAUUUUAUUUUCUGCCAGAAGAUCUCUGAUAUCUUGAUCUUCUGGCAGAUCCUUUGUAUUUACAAACUUCAAUUUGAAGUCGUAAAUUCAAGCGUAGCGUUGGUAGACAUAAACGUUUGAUCAAAAGUGGUUUAACGAGUACUAAACAUAAAUCAUAAAUAAAAUGUAUUCUCUUUAAUUUUUUAUUAUUUUCAUUUAAAGUAUAUAAAAUAAAUGAAUUGACGUUGGCCUGACCGAGCAUAUCAUAAAAAAUGUGCAUCGGCCAACGUAGCGUUUUUCUAACUACACUAUAUUGAUGGCACUUUUGAUCGAACGUAUCUGUUCCUCCUUUGGUUUUGUUAUAAAACAAUACGAUCUUGGGUUUUUUCGACUAUCAAUAACACCAUUAGUAUGUAGCGAUGAUAAUAAUAAUACAAUUUUUUCCUUUUUUGGAUUAUAUGACAUGAGUAUUUUGCCAUCAACAUAACAAAAUUGUGCGCUUGAACCGUCUUCUGGAAUUUUCUUAAAUGAUGCAGGGAUUUCGCGCUUAUUUUUUUAAUCGUCCCUACAAGUGUUAAAUUGAACUCUUUUUUUAAUUUAUCACAAAUUGGGACAGAAGUAAACCAGUUAUCACAUGUGAUAUUUCUCAUAUGUGAUAUGAUAAAUAGGCUCGCACAAUUUUCUAACAUAGUAUGAAAGAACAGCCUCAUUUGGUUCUUUGUCUACACUUCCGACGUAAGAUAUCGCAUUAUACAUAUAAUGGCCGCGUUCAGCAGACACAACUGUUGUAAAACUGUUGUACAACUGUUGGGUGGAUGUCUGCUGAACGCACUUUGAUCAGUUGCUGCUCCUCAACAUGUUUAGGGAGCGGACGUCAUUUUUUCCACCAAAGAUUUUCUUCGCUACCUAAGCUCAACAUGUUGGAAAACAAUAUGGCGGCGCCCAUGUGUUUGGAUGUAUUAGCUGAACUUAUAAAACUUAUUAAAUGUAAAAGAAAAAAUAAUGAAUUGUCGCAUUAGUAAUAAUGAUAUGUAUAGUGUUAACUAUACAUUUAAUGGUGCCGAAUAUAGUAUAACAGACACAAACGAGGUACACUCAAGACUACGAUCAGAAUAAAUGUUAUAGAAAACCAUCAUCCACUGCAAAUAACGCUAUAAUAUCCAAAUCGUCCAUUUUUUCCAAUUAUUAAACACACUAAUGCUUAAUUUCUUUCGGCUCUUUCUUCACCUGAUGGUUAAAUUUAAUCAGUUCAAUCGAAUUGACAAAUCGUAUAAAAGGUUAGAAAAAUAAUGCAAGAUCACGUGACACGCUGUAUUCUGAGGCUAAAAUCCCCGUUCAGCAGACACGAUCCGUAUCACUUAAAGAGCCUGAAAUCAAAGAGCCGCAAACUGCCUCCACGUUUUUGAUUGGCUGUACUAUAUGACGUCAGAAUACGUCAUGUUUGCGAGGAAAAAUCGUACAGUUCGCUAGCUGUCUGCUAGAUAAGAAGGUUGCGAGGUUAUUUUACAUUAAAUCUUUUGAAACAUGUUUCUAAUUAUUUGUAGUUAUGUUGCGGUGUUUAAAUAUUGAUUUGCAUCAUGGUACGAGUAUGUAGUGCAAAUAAUUGUUCAAAUAAGUACUGGGAUAAAGUUCAGGAGGUGCCCUUGUAUUCCUCAUCUGCAGCAACAAUGGUUAGAAAAAUUAAACAGAAGUACUAUGGGAAAUGAAUUUUAUCUUUCUGAGGAACAUUUCAGCAGAGAAGAUUUACAAACAAAUACUCGAAGCCUUAUUCCUAUAAUUUUUUGCAACUGCUCAAAUACUUGUAGGUCACAAUCUUGCAACAGCUUGUCACAAUCUUGCAACAGCUAUUCUGAAGAGAUUCAUUCAAAUGCGACUAAAAAUUUUCACUGGUCAUGAAGAACGAAAAGAAUCCGGUUCAGAAUUUGGUAGUUUCAGCAUGGGCUCGCGUUUGUUAGGCAAAAGCAUGAAAUAAAACUUUAUUAUUAGUCAGCAGAGACUUCCAACGAUAUUGAGUAAAGUAAUUCUGUUUUUAUUUUUAGUAUGUUAGUCUAAUUGUUGUCACAAGAAAUUUCUAUUGAAUGCAAUAACCCAGAUAGAACACAGUGUUAGCAAAAUAUUUUAGAGAUAUAGAUGUGAAAUAUUAUAUAAAUAUUGUAAUGUUCGAGAUUCUCAGAUAUGAAAAAGAUUAUAAUAAAUAUCUAAAAAUAUUUAAGAAAACCAUUUUUCAUUAAUAUUUUUAUGAAACAACUUAUGACUUAUAAAUCGAUUUAUGAAACAUAUUUUGCAGACAUAUUUUUACAUAUUUAUUAUAAUUGUUUUCAUAGCAGAGAAUGUUGA